GCUCGCAUGGUCUAGUGGUAUGACGUCUCAUUCACUCUGAGAAGGUCAAGGGUUCGAUCCCCUUUGUGAUCA
rfam:Babjeviella inositovora NRRL Y-12698 unplaced genomic scaffold BABINscaffold_12, whole genome shotgun sequence.